AAGUCGUAACAAGGUCUCCGUUGGUGAACCAGCGGAGGGAUCAUUACUGAGUCGUAAAAAAACCCCCAAACCCAAUCGUGAACUUACCAUUAUGUUCGCCUCUGGGCCAGGACCGUACCCGGGGACCCUACCCCUGGUCACGCUACCUUGUAGCCCUUGCCGGUGGCACCGAUGCUAAACUCUUGUUUUUUUUAUAGAAAUCUGAACGUCUUAUUAAAUAAGUCAAAA
rnacentral:misc_RNA from 1 species